UGGGGAAUAUUGCACAAUGGGCGAAAGCCUGAUGCAGCAACGCCGCGUGAGUGAUGAAGGCCUUCGGGUUGUAAAGCUCUGUCUUUUGGGACGAUAAUGACGGUACCAAAGGAGGAAGCCACGGCUAACUACGUGCCGGCAGCCGCGGUAAUACGUAGGUGGCAAGCGUUGUCCGGAUUUACUGGGCGUAAAGGAUGCGUAGGCGGAUUUUUAAGUGAGAUGUGAAAUACCCGGGCUUAACUUGGGUGCUGCAUUUCAAACUGGGAAUCUAGAGUGCGGGAGAGGAGAAUGGAAUUCCUAGUGUAGCGGUGAAAUGCGUAGAGAUUAGGAAGAACACCAGUGGCGAAGGCGAUUCUCUGGACCGUAACUGACGCUGAGGCAUGAAAGCGUGGGUAGCAAACAGGAUUAGAUACCCUGGUAGUCCACGCCGUAAACGAUGAGUACUAGGUGUAGGAGGUAUCGACCCCUUCUGUGCCGCAGUUAACA
rnacentral:rRNA from 1 species